GGAACGUGCCCUUCUCUAGGGAAUAGCCACUGGAAACGGUGAGUAAUACCUUAUACGCCCUUCGGGGGAAAGAUUUAUCGGAGAAGGAUCGGCCCGCGUUAGAUUAGAUAGUUGGUGGGGUAACGGCCUACCAAGUCUACGAUCUAUAGCUGGUUUUAGAGGAUGAUCAGCAACACUGGGACUGAGACACGGCCCAGACUCCUACGGGAGGCAGCAGUGGGGAAUCUUGGACAAUGGGGGCAACCCUGAUCCAGCCAUGCCGCGUGAGUGAUGAAGGCCUUAGGGUCGUAAAGCUCUUUCGCCUGUGAUGAUAAUGACAGUAGCAGGUAAAGAAACCCCGGCUAACUCCGUGCCAGCAGCCGCGGUAAUACGGAGGGGGUUAGCGUUGUUCGGAAUUACUGGGCGUAAAGCGCGCGUAGGCGGACCAGAAAGUUGGGGGUGAAAUCCCGGGGCUCAACCCCGGAACUGCCUCCAAAACUCCUGGUCUUGAGUUCGAGAGAGGUGAGUGGAAUUCCGAGUGUAGAGGUGAAAUUCGUAGAUAUUCGGAGGA
rnacentral:rRNA from 1 species